GUUACAGAGGGAGUAUUUGAACUUGGUCUUUCUCAUAUCCCUCUCAUUUCCCAUCCUUCUUUCUCUCUCUUACACUCUCCCUCUCUCUUGCUUUCAAUUCUCUCUUCUCUGCUCUAAACCCAUCCCUCUCUGACCACCCUUCACCUCCUUCCUGAAACCACCACACUACCCAGAUAUCUAGUUGAAGUUCAACUGGGAUCUUCAACCGGUGUUCAUCAGGAUGAUGAACACCUACCUAGAAAACCCCUUAACCUAAUAACCCUAACCCUAAGAACCCUAACCUAAUCACCAAGAACCCUACCCUUCUGCAAGAACCCUAACCUCAAUCCUAGAAGAACCAUAACCUUGUUAUUCAUACAAAGCCCAGAAACAUAAGAACUCUAACCCUCCCCAGAUGAACCCUAGGGUUUGUCACAUGAACCAUAACCCUAGUUAUUUUUCCAAAAACCCUUCAAACCAAACAUAAACACAACACAAAUAGUAACAAUCUAUAGAUCUUAACUUUCCUAGAAAUAAUCAAACAUUCAAAAUAUAGAAUUAAACCACAUAUCUAAAACCUAAACAAAACCCUGAAAUCCCUCAGUUAUACCCCUAACCCAUUCAAAUCAUACAAGCGAACAAACAAACAAUCAAAGCGCAUCAAAAAUCACAGAGAACGGAAAUUUAACCUUCAGAGAGGAAGAGUUCUCCAGUCAAGGUGCUUGGACCUGUGAAGGAGGCAAAGCUUAGAAGAAUUAGGGUUUCAAUGUGAAACCCUAAUCUCAAAGUGAUUCAAGCUCUGGUGAGGGAUUAGGAUUGCAACAUCAGUUAAAACUUUUUAGGGUUCUUUUUCGUCCCUGUUCAUCUCAAUUCAUCAUAUAUUUAUAGGUUAAUAUUAGGUUUUAAGUUUUAAUUUGAUUUAUUUAUAAUUAGAGACUUACGAUUUUGAUUGCUAUUGUUUUAGAGAAUUUUUAAUUUGAUUUGAUUUGUAAUUCUGAUUGUUUUGAGAUUUGAUUCAGAAUUAGAAUUAGGUUUGGAGAUUUGAUGUAUUGAGAUUGAUUUUAAUGUAAAUUCAAUUGUUUGAAUGCUUUUGUAAAUAUAAAGUUUUGAUUCAAUGCA